AACAACAUUUAACUCAAUCAUUGUGCAACAAUCAACAUACCAUUAAACUCGUAUUUGUGUUAGUAACAAUACAAGGAAGUCAUGCAAAAACUGACGUUAUUAAUUUUAUUUGUGGUGGCUAUAAUGGCUCAAGCCGAAGACAAUAAACCCCAAUACGAUUUGACAGAUGGACCAGCUCUGUUUGCAAAGUUUAUCAAGGAUUUCAACAAGGUAUACAAGGAUGAAGCCGACAAAGAGGUCCACUACCAAGAGUUUCUCAAAUCAUUAGAGGUCAUAAACAAAGCGAAUGCUGCAAACUCCGGUGCAACGUUCGAUAUCAAUGCACUUGCUGAUUAUACUCCUGAGCAGAGGAAGAAUUUGCACGGAGUCAGGCGAAAUAAUUAAAGGCCCACUACAGAGGACAGCAGGUUAAUUUACUAACAUUGUGUUGACUUAUACGAAAUUGAGAGUUUAUGUAACAAAUGACAUUCGGUAACUGGCAACACUUCGUGCAUAUCAUACAGUAAAAUAGCGUUAAGGAAAUAUCCAGCGAUAUAGUAUUUUUAAGUAUAAUAAAUUAUUAAAACCAUUCUACUUACUUUUUAUUAUCAUCAUCAUCACCAUCAUCAUCAACAUCGUCAUCAUCAUCAUCAUCAUCAUCAUCAUCAUCAUCAUCAUCACCAUCAUCAUCAACAUCAUCAUCAUCAUCAUCAUCAUCAUCAUCAUCAUCAUCAUCAUCAACAUCAUCAUCAUCAUCAUCAUCAUCAUCAUCAUCAUCAUCAUCAUCAUCAUCAUCAUCAUCAUCAUCAUCAUCAUCAUCAUCAUCAACAUCGUCAUCAUCAUCAUCAUCAUCAUCAUCAUCAUCAUCAUCAUCACCAUCAUCAUCAACAUCAUCAUCAUCAUCAUCAUCAUCAUCAUCAUCAUCAUCAUCAACAUCGUCAUCAUCAUCAUCAUCAUCAUCAUCAUCAUCAUCAUCACCAUCAUCAUCAACAUCAUCAUCAUCAUCAUCAUCAUCAUCAUCAUCAUCAUCAUCAUCAUCAUCAUCAUCAUCAUCAUCAUCAUCAUCAUCAUCAUCAUCAUCAUCAUCAUCAUCAUGAUGAUCAUUAGCAACCCAAUGACUCACUGUUGACCACGAGUCUUCUCUCAGAAUAAGUGGUGGAACGAGCUAUGCUAGGAGUAUCUUUGUGUGAUCGAAUCAGAAAUGAGGAGAUCCGCAGAAGAACUAAAGUUACCGACAUACCUCAACGUAUCGUGAAGCUGAAGUGGCAAUUUUCGAAGAGCCGAUGGCCGUUAGGGUCCCAAGGUGCUGGAAUGGCGGCCUCGCACCAGAAAGAGCAGUGUUGGUCGACCCCCCACCAGGUGGACUGACGACAUCAAGCGAGACGCAGGUAUUCGCUGGACAGGCAUUCGCAGGCGGCUCAGUAUCGUAAUGUAAAAGUCCCCACAAAAGGCCUAUGUCCUGCAGUGGACGUCCAUCGACUGACAUGAUGAUGAUGAUGAUGAAAUAAACAUCAAAUCAAUUGACAAAAUGUCUUCUACUUUCUGUAUGAUACACACCAGUAAGCACCGGAUGACAUUUGUUACAUAGAAUCUCAAUUUUGUAUAUGUCAACUAAACAUACGUCAAAGAUAGUGAAUUAGCCGGCUGGCCCUAGUAUAAUCUUGUUGUUCAUAAGUUUGUCAAGACAGUUUUUGUGAAGAAGUUAUCGAGUCCUUCCAAGUUAACUCGCUAGUAUAUUAGACUACAUAACAGGUGAAUUGGCAAGCUUGCACACUUAAGCUUACGAUGUGAAAUAAAAUAAAAAUAAAAACAAUAUUAACAUCAUGUGAUAUCAUAGUCAAACGUGAAUUUGUUGUAAAAAUAAACUUAAUUAUAAGGGGGUACAAACUUUAAUAUUAAAUGGUAUUAAAGUUUGUACCGCCUUCGGUUUGAUAUUAAUAAUAAAUAUAACAGUAAUACAAAAUAAAUCAUCAAAAUUACCUAAUUACUUAAAGUUUUGACGGAACCCUCUGUUCCAAGUUUUUUAUUUAUUAUUUUUAAUUGUAGGUAUGUAACGAACUCACUUUAUAAAUAUCUCAGUAUAUAAAAGAAAAACAACGCUUAAAUCGAGCAUUGUAUUUUAGUCUUCGUCAAGAUCACAUUGUUUAUUAUAGUAAUACCUAAAAACAUGCAAAAGCUAACGUGUCUAAUUUUGUUUGUGUUAGCUGUAAUGGCUCAGGCGAAUGAAGAAAAACCCCAAUACGAUCUGGCAAAUGGUCCAGCUCUGUUUGAGAAGUUUAUCAAAGACUACAACAAGGAAUACAAGGACGAAGCCGACAAAGAAGUUCACUACAAGGAGUUUCUUAAUUCUCUGAAGGUCAUAAAUGAUUCCAAUGCGGCAGACACUAACGCAACUUUCGAUAUUAAUGAAUUCGCCGACUACACUCCUGAGCAGAGGAAGAAUUUGUUCGGAGAGAGCAUCGACUAAAGGUAAAUUAGCGUUAAAGAAAUAUCCAGCGAGAAUGUAUUUUAAAAUAUAAUAAAUUUUUAAAGCAAUUCUA